GGUGCAGCAGGCGCGAAAACUUUACAAUGCGGGAAACCGUGAUAAGGGGACACCGAGUGCCAGCAUCAUAUGCUGGCUGUCCAGGUGUGUAAAAUACACCUGUUAGCAAGGGCCGGGCAAGACCGGUGCCAGCCGCCGCGGUAACACCGGCGGCCCGAGUGGUGAUCGUGAUUAUUGGGUCUAAAGGGUCCGUAGCCGGUUUGGUCAGUCCUCCGGGAAAUCUGACGGCUCAACCGUUAGGCUUUCGGGGGAUACUGCCAGACUUGGAACCGGGAGAGGUAAGAGGUACUACAGGGGUAGGAGUGAAAUCUUGUAAUCCCUGUGAGACCACCUGUGGCGAAGGCGUCUUACCAGAACGGGUUCGACGGUGAGGGACGAAAGCUGGGGGCACGAACCGGAUUAGAUACCCGGGUAGUCCCAGCCGUAAACGAUGCUCGCUAGGUGUCAGGCAUGGCGCGACCGUGUCUGGUGCCGCAGGGAAGCCGUGAAGCGAGCCACCUGGGAAGUACGGCCGCAAGGCUGAAACUUAAAGGAAUUGGCGGGGGAGCAC
rnacentral:rRNA from 1 species